rnacentral:rRNA from 1 species
UGGGGAAUUUUGCACAAUGGGGGAAACCCUGAUGCAGCGACGCCGCGUGAUUUAGAAGGCCUUCGGGUUGUAAAAAUCUUUUUUACGGGAUGAAAAUGACAGUACCGUAAGAAUAAGGUCCGGCUAAAUACGUGCCAGCAGCCGCGGUAAUACGUAUGGACCGAGCGUUGUCCGGAAUCAUUGGGCGUAAAGGGUACGUAGGCGGCCUAGUAAGUUAGAAGUGAAAUAAUAUAGCUCAACUAUAUAAAGCUUUUAAAACUGCUAGGCUUGAGAGAUGGAAGGGAAAGUGGAAUUCCUAGUGUAGCGGUGAAAUGCGCAGAUAUUUGGAAGAAUACCGGUGGCGAAGGCGACUUUCUGGUCAUCAUCUGACGCUGAGGUACGAAAGCGUGGGUAGCAAACAGG